rnacentral:rRNA from 1 species
AAAUUGAAGAGUUUGAUCAUGGCUCAGAUUGAACGCUGGCGGCAGGCCUAACACAUGCAAGUCGAACGGUAACAGGAAGCAGCUUGCUGCUUUGCUGACGAGUGGCGGACGGGUGAGUAAUGUCUGGGAAACUGCCUGAUGGAGGGGGAUAACUACUGGAAACGGUGGCUAAUACCGCAUAACGUCGCAAGACCAAAGAGGGGGACCUUAGGGCCUCUUGCCAUCAGAUGUGCCCAGAUGGGAUUAGCUUGUUGGUGAGGUAACGGCUCACCAAGGCGACGAUCCCUAGCUGGUCUGAGAGGAUGACCAGCCACACUGGAACUGAGACACGGUCCAGACUCCUACGGGAGGCAGCAGUGGGGAAUAUUGCACAAUGGGCGCAAGCCUGAUGCAGCCAUGCCGCGUGUAUGAAGAAGGCCUUCGGGUUGUAAAGUACUUUCAGCGGGGAGGAAGGUGUUG